rnacentral:lncRNA from 1 species
CUAAUGGGGCAGUGAAUGAUGUUCACUCUUCUAUACUGUUUCUAGUCUACUCUCCAAGGUCGGAAAGUGUUCGAGGGGUUUGAUUUAUUGAGCUGUGGGGGAGAGAUCCUGCUGUGCCCAUAGAGGAGAUGGUAAUUCUUUGAAAAAGGGAUUGUUCAACUCCUACAGAGAGAGGCUUUAGGCAAUUUUGAAAUAAUAGAAGCUGAGAAUCUUGGGCCUCAUAUAGAUUGUACACCAUCGGUCUCUUCCCUUGGGAUGGGAGAAAAAGAAACAGCUGUUAAUAGAAUCACGAUCCAGUCUAUAGAAAAAAAAUGGCAGUGAGUAUCUUUUUAAAUCUGGUUUUCUUAACAGCUCUUUGGAGCCCUGUUCACAAUGUGGUCGGUUUGUAAUUGGAUCUGUAGUCAAUCUUUUCC